UACAUGGGGUGCAACCGUUGCUCGGAAUUAUUGGGCGGAAAGCGCGCGUAGGCGGUUACUCAAGUCGGAUGUGAAAGCCCUCGGCUUAACUGAGGAAGUGCACCCGAAACUGAGUAGCUAGAGUACUAAAGAGGGUCGCGGAAUUCCCGGUGUAGAGGUGAAAUUCGUAGAUAUCGGGAGGAACACCGGUGGCGAAGGCGGCGACCUGGGUAGAUACUGACGCUGAGGCGCGAAAGCGUGGGGAGCAAACAGG
rnacentral:rRNA from 1 species